AUUGAACGCUGGCGGCAGGCCUAACACAUGCAAGUCGAGCGGAAGGUUCUUCGGAGCCGAGAGCGGCGGACGGGUGAGGAGAGCGUGGGAAUCUGCCUGUAGAUGGGGGAUAGCCCGGAGAAAUCCGGAUUAAUACCGCAUAAUACCUGAGGGUUAAAGUGGAGGAUCGCAAGACUUCACGUCUACAGAUGAGCCCACGUCAGAUUAGCUAGUUGGUAGGGUAAAGGCCUACCAAGGCGACGAUCUGUAGCUGGCCUGAGAGGGUGGCCAGCCACACUGGAACUGAGACACGGUCCAGACUCCUACGGGAGGCAGCAGUGGGGAAUAUUGGACAAUGGGCGCAAGCCUGAUCCAGCCAUGCCGCGUGUGUGAGAAGGCCUCGGUGUAAG
rnacentral:rRNA from 1 species